rnacentral:rRNA from 1 species
GGUGAAAAGCACCCCGGAAGGGGAGUGAAAUAGAACCUGAAACCGUGUGCUUACAAGUAGUCAGAGCCCGUUAAUGGGUGAUGGCGUGCCUUUUGUAGAAUGAACCGGCGAGUUACGAUUUGAUGCAAGGUUAAGCAGUAAAUGUGGAGCCGUAGCGAAAGCGAGUCUGAAUAGGGCGUUUAGUAUUUGGUCGUAGACCCGAAACCAGGUGAUCUACCCUUGGUCAGGUUGAAGUUCAGGUAACACUGAAUGGAGGACCGAACCGACUUACGUUGAAAAGUGAGCGGAUGAACUGAGGGUAGCGGAGAAAUUCCAAUCGAACCUGGAGAUAGCUGGUUCUCUCCGAAAUAGCUUUAGGGCUAGCCUCAAGUGAUGAUUAUUGGAGGUAGAGCACUGUUUGGACGAGGGGCCCCUCUCGGGUUACCGAAUUCAGACAAACUCCGAAUGCCAAUUAAUUUAACUUGGGAGUCAGAACAUGGGUGAUAAGGUCCGUGUUCGAAAGGGAAACA